ACAGAGAAUCGGAAAGAAAGAGUAAAGCAAGCGUUUCACAAAUUCUCUUUUGCAGCCGCCAAUUGAUUUUUUCGCUUUUAAUAAAAUCCUCAAAGGAAAGAAACCCGACUUCUAUUUGCAUUCUUUUUCUCAUAUAUUCAUCGAAACUUAGAAACAGUGUUUGCUAAUCACCGCAAGAAAGGUACUGCUAAGCCAUGGCCAAGAGCUCCUUCAAGUUGGAACACCCCCUCGAAAGGAGGCACGCAGAAUCAGCUCGUAUUAGGGAGAAAUAUCCUGAUAGAAUACCAGUUAUCGUGGAGAGGGCUGAAAGAAGUGACAUACCCAACAUUGACAAAAAGAAAUAUCUGGUUCCUUCUGAUCUGACUGUUGGCCAGUUUGUUUAUGUGGUCCGCAAGAGAAUAAAGCUCAGUGCUGAGAAGGCUAUAUUCAUCUUUGUCAAGAACAUUUUGCCGCCCACUGCUGCCAUGAUGUCUGCAAUUUAUGAGGAAAACAAAGACGAGGAUGGCUUCCUCUACAUGACUUAUAGUGGGGAGAACACAUUUGGAGAAUCAUUCUGAACUGCACACUGAAGAGUGUGAGAAGACAAUGAACAAAUGUAAAUUCUGUCUUUCUGUUCUUACCACGGGGCAUCCAUGUUGAAACUUGCUAUGAUGCUGGCCGUUCUUAAGAUUUGAAGUAAAUAUUUGUGUUUGCCUGUUCUUAAGAUUUCCCAU
rnacentral:misc_RNA from 1 species